rnacentral:rRNA from 1 species
UACGGGGGGGGCAAGCGUUGUUCGGAAUUACUGGGCGUAAAGGGCUCGUAGGCGGCCAACUAAGUCCGACGUGAAAUCCCCAGGCUUAACCUGGGAACUGCGUCGGAUACUGGAUGGCUUGAAUCCGGGAGAGGGAUGCGGAAUUCCAGGUGUAGCGGUGAAAUGCGUAGAUAUCUGGAGGAACACCGGUGGCGAAGGCGGCAUCCUGGACCGGCAUUGACGCUGAUGAGCGAAAGCCAGGGGGAGCAAAACGGGG